rnacentral:misc_RNA from 1 species
UCCGGUUUGUCACCGGCAGUCUCAUUAGAGUGCUCUUUCGUAGCAACUAAUGACAAGGGUUGCGCUCGUUGCGGGACUUAACCCAACAUCUCGCGACACGAGCUGACGACAGCCAUGCAGCACCUCCACACAGACCUCCGAAGAGGGGCACUCAUCUCUGAGCGUUUCCUGUGCAGUUCAAACCCAGGUAAGGUUCUGCGCGUUGCUUCGAAUUAAACCACAUGCUCCACCGCUUGUGCGGGCCCCCGUCAAUUCCUUUGAGUUUCACCCUUGCGGGCGUACUCCCCAGGUGGAUUACUUAACGCUUUCGCUAAGACGCUGACUGUUUAUCGCCAACAUCGAGUAAUCAUCGUUUACAGCGUGGACUAC